ensembl:lncRNA
AUGGACUGCAGUUUUGACAGUACUACUGAUGUUAACACAACUGUGAAUUCUGAUCUCCAAGACCUUAAGAUCUGUGCAGCAGGUUUUGUUGCUAAAAUGUAUUCUGCAUCAAAUACAACUCUUACUGAUGUUCAGAAAAGUAUAACAUGCACAAAAGAGUUACUUGAGAAAACAUUGGAUUGUUUACAAGAAAAGACUGUGUCUGUGCCCAACAAUUUUGCAGUGCCACAAAAUGAUGAAGCUGUCCAAAACUUACUACAAAAUUUUGAAGAAGCACGAAACAUGUUUGAAGAUGUGGACACAACGCACAAAAUGUGCAAACAUUUUUCAGAGAAGCUAUCAUUAAUUAAAUCUACAGAAAUAUUCUUAGGUUAUAGAGGGCAUACAGGCAGAAAGCAUGGCACGUCAUCACAAGCAUUUGCUGCUGACACUUGUCAGUACAUCCCAAUUUCCGAAACAGUCAAGUUUCUUUUCAGGAAUGAACAUAUGCAAGCAUUUUACAGGCAGACUUUUGAUAGUCAUGAUGGUAAAAUGUAUGAUUAUUCUGAUGGAUUACAUUUCAAAAGACAUGAACUGUAUAAGAAACAUCGUAGUGCCUUACAAAUUCAAUUAUAUUUCGAUGAUUUAGAAACAACGAACCCAUUAGGGUCAAAAACAAAAAUACACAGGAUGGGGGCUGUUUAUUUUUGUAUUAGAAACUUACCUGCUGAAUUUAACUCUGCUCUUGCCAACAUUCACCUCUGCCUUCUGUUCAAUUCAAUCGAUAAAGAAACAUAUGGUUUUGAAAAAAUAUUUGCACCAUUACUAGAUGAUUUGAAAUCACUAGAAACCAGAGGCAUUCAGGUCAACAUUGGAGGCCAGGAGACUACUCUCUUUGGAACAAUUUGUGUUUUCACUGCUGACAAUCUUGGCUGUCAUUCACUUGGGGGUUUUGUUGAAAGCUUUUCUGCGAACAAAUUUUGUCAUUUUUGCAUGGUUGAUAAAGAGAUGGCCCAAAAAGAGUUUGAUGAUGAUAAAACUGAGUUGUGUAACAAAGAAAAUUACCAGCUGCAUGUCGCUCAAGAAAAUCCUUCUGCCACUGGUGUUAAGGGAGAUUCAUGCCUUAAUUCUCUUAAAUAUUUCCACAUCACAGAAAAUGUUCGCGUUGAUGUGAUGCAUGACAUCUUAGAAGGUGUAGCUCCACUUGAAAUUAAGCUAAUGUUGCAUCAUUUCAUAUAUGUGGAAAAGCUCUUCACAUUGGAGCAAUUAAAUGAUAAGAUUACAAGCUUUGAUUAUGGUUACAACAAUGGUAAGAGCAAACCUAGCAUCAUACUUAACUUGAGAACAGGAGAAAACACUGUAAAACAAACAGCAAGUCAAAUGUGGUGUUUGCUUCUUUUUUUGCCAUUUUUUAUUGGAGAUUUUGUGAGCGAAGAAAGUCAACACUGGCAAUUGUUCCUUCUGUUGAGAAAUAUAUGCGACAUUGUUUUUGCCCCAGUAACAACCACAGGAAUGGCCCUUUAUUUAAAGCAGCUCAUCAUUGAUCAUCAUAAUCUAUUUAAAACUCUUUAUCCAGAAAGAAAACUUAUCCCAAAACACCACUUCAUGACACAUUAUUGGCGACUGACAAUCCAAUUCGGCCCUCUGGUAAGACUGUGGUGCAUGCGUUUCGAGGGCAAGCAUAGCCCUUUAAAAAGGCAUGCUCACAUUGUUUGCAACUUUGUGAAUAUUUCCAAAACACUGGCUUAUAAACAUCAAGUUUCUUGCAUGUACACAUGGAUGUUUGGUGACCCACUUGAAAGACCUGUCACUGUUACAAAUAAUUUCCAAGUUGCUGUUGGUAGUUUGGUAAAGUAUGAUUUGUUGAUUGAAAAAAUGGCAGCCUGCAGACAUGAUUUAAACAUUUUGAGUAUGAUAAGUGUGGCCAGUUGUGUGUCUAUACUUGGUCAUUGCUACAGACCUGGUUGUGUGGUUCCCUUAAAAUGUGAUAUGGACAACGAACAUAUCUUUGGACAGGCAAUGUAUAUUGUUCCCUUUUCUGACCGUGACGAAGUGUUCGUUUUGUUGAGAGUUCUCAUUGUUAAGUAUUUUGAUGACCACCUUCACACUUAUGUGAUUAAAGAGACAAAUGAAUUUCAAGUGAUUAAUCUGAAAGAUGCAAUUGAUGCUUUGCCACUGGAUGUAUAUCAACUCAGAGAUUCUGAAUUUCAUUUACUGACAAGAUAUAGACUUAUUUCCUAA